CAAGCCUCUCCAGUUGUUGGCCCAAGUGCAACCACACGCCUUGGCCGACGUUGGUUUCCUGUGUUGAAUUCCUGUCGAAUGGCAGUCUUUCGGCUACUACAGUCCGGUACUCCUCCUUUCGUCGCGGCUCCGCACGGAGAUGCGGCGCGGGGAGGACAUCAAAGACCGCGUCGUGUUUCGCAAUCCACCCACUCCUCUAUGCGGGUGCACGGGUUGCCGACCCACGGCGUCGUGCUCGAUCUCUCGGAUGCGGAAAGCCAAGCGGCUUCGAGGCCACGGCCUCUGUUGUCCCUUAGAAGGGCGUUCUACGCUCCCUGCGGACGACUGCCGAUCGGGUCUUGUUCCGGAGCCCUCGUGGCUCGGAUCAUGCCCGACC
rnacentral:misc_RNA from 1 species